rnacentral:rRNA from 1 species
GACGAACGCUGGCGGCGCGCUUAACACAUGCAAGUCGAACGGAAAGGCCUGCUUUCCCUUGUGGAUUGCGGGUACUCGAGUGGCGAACGGGUGAGUAACACGUGAGUGAUCUGCCCCCAACUUGGGUAUAAGCCUGGGAAACUGGGUCUAAUUCCCGAUAGGACUGCAGGGUGGUGCCUGUGGUGGAAAACGAUUUUCUAGUGGUUGGGGAUGAGCUCGCGGCCUAUCAGCUUGUUGGUGGGGUAAUGGCCUACCAAGGCGGCGACGGGUAGCCGGCCUGAGAGGGUGGACGGCCAAAUUGGGACUGAGAUACGGCCCAGACUCCUACGGGAGGCAGCAGUGGGGAAUAUUGCACAAUGGGCGGAAGCCUGAUGCAGCGACGCCGCGUAGGGGAUGACGGCCUUCGGGUUGUAAACUCCUUUCGACCGCGAGGAAGCCACCUGGUUGGAAGGGUGGUGACGGUAGUGGUAGAAGAAGCACCGGCUAACUACGUG